rnacentral:rRNA from 1 species
UGGGGAAUAUUGCACAAUGGGGGAAACCCUGAUGCAGCGACGCCGCGUGAACGAAGAAGGUAUUCGUAUCGUAAAGUUCUGUCCUACGGGAAGAUAAUGACAGUACCAUAGAAGAAAGCUCCGGCUAAAUACGUGCCAGCAGCCGCGGUAAUACGUAUGGAGCGAGCGUUGUCCGGAAUUAUUGGGGGUAAAGGGUACGCAGGCGGUUUAAUAAGUCGGAUGUUAAAGAUCGGGGCUCAACCCCGUAAAGCAUUGGAAACUGAUAAACUUGAGUAGUGGAGAGGAAAGUGGAAUUCCUAGUGUAGUGGUGAAAUACGUAGAUAUUAGGAGGAAUACCAGUAGCGAAGGCGACUUUCUGGACACAAGCUGACGCUGAGGUACGAAGGCGUGGGGAGCAGACAGG